CUGGCGGCGUGCCUAAUACAUGCAAGUAGAACGCUGAAGAGAGGAGCUUGCUCUUCUUGGAUGAGUUGCGAACGGGUGAGUAACGCGUAGGUAACCUGCCUUGUAGCGGGGGAUAACUAUUGGAAACGAUAGCUAAUACCGCAUAACAAUGGAUGACACAUGUCAUUUAUUUGAAAGGGGCAAUUGCUCCACUACAAGAUGGACCUGCGUUGUAUUAGCUAGUAGGUGAGGUAAUGGCUCACCUAGGCGACGAUACAUAGCCGACCUGAGAGGGUGAUCGGCCACACUGGGACUGAGACACGGCCCAGACUCCUACGGGAGGCAGCAGUAGGGAAUCUUCGGCAAUGGGGGCAACCCUGACCGAGCAACGCCGCGUGAGUGAAGAAGGUUUUCGGAUCGUAAAGCUCUGUUGUAAGUCAAGAACGGGUGUGAGAGUGGAAAGUUCACACUGUGACGGUAGCUUACCAGAAAGGGACGGCUAACUACGUGCCAGCAGCCGCGGUAAUACGUAGGUCCCGA
rnacentral:rRNA from 1 species